UCCGCCCCGGAGCUCCGCUGAGCACCCGCUGUUUCCAUCCUUCCCUGGUUGCCCCACGUCAGGAGGCAAAAGCCCCUGGGCAGGGUGCGGGGGGCAGCACCCCGAGGUGUGCCCACAGCGGGGUGCCCCGAGGUGGGGCGCGAGGAUGGGGCCGUGCUGGGGGCCAGGGCGAUGGGGAACGGGGAGAGAGGAGGAUGGAGCUGGGUGGGUGCCUGCAGCGCCCCAGCAGGGAGGUUUUGGGACGGGGCUGGCGUCUGCCCCAUCCAGCCCCGCAAUCCCACAGCUACUUCCCUGGGCACCCGGCUGCUCCUCGCGGGCUGCCGGAGGAGGAAGAGGGUUUCCACCCUCCAGCCGGCUCCGUGUUCCCGAGAGCUUCUGCUCGGGGCAGCGCGAAGCCGGCGCUGACGGUGCGAGGCAUUGCGUUUUCUCCAUUUUACUAUUAAUAGCGAUGAAAAACGCCCGUGACAAAGGGAGUUUCGCAAAGGCCACCGCCGCAGAUUCCUGUUCCCAGGCCAGGAGCGGGUGUCUCAGAGGCACCGCUGACGCAACCCUCGCCGUGCUGGGAAGAGUCCCCGCUGCUGGGAGUUUCCGAGCUUACCGCGAGUGCUAUAAGAUGGGCACGGGCCAUGCAGAAGCCCAGGAGCUUGUGCAUGAGCCCAUGCGCUGAGGCUAUGCUGCGAGCUGCGGCGUGCGGCCCUUUUCCUCCGACCUUCUACCCACACAAGCCAGCGUUGAUUCGUACUUCAGUUCGUACCAGCAAAACCCAGAGAUCCCAAACUCGGAAAGCAAGCACGAACCAAGGUCUUUUUGUCCGAUUGGUCUGCUUCCAUGGGUAGAGCCCACAGCCCAGCUUGGAGAGCCAAGACAGAGACCUCGCUGACACCGCACGUCUCUCCCUGCGCACCAUUUCUCAUCACCCACCAGAGAGAACACCAGCCUGGAAGUCGAGGCUCAGUCACUCACCGUCUUUGGGAAGGAAACGGGGGGAGACAGAAAAGGAGGCCGGUGAGAGUUGGCAGCAAUGUUAUCUGCGUCCCAGCUGGGGUGGGACACUUACGGCGGGAGGGAGAGGAGCUGCGCUCUUCAACUUCUCGCCUCAGUGUUUCAUGGUUGGGAGGUACCAAAUAACUCCCGUAAAAACGCUGUCCCGGGUAUUCUCUGCUUUGCACUUCCGAUGGGACAGGAAGUUUGGUAUUUCUGUAAAAUGCUUACCGUCUGUCUUGUCCAAAACAAUAAAAAUAUGCAACACCGAA